CCUACGGGAGGCAGCAGUGAGGAAUAUUGGUCAAUGGACGAGAGUCUGAACCAGCCAAGCAGCGUGAAGGAAGACUGCCCUAUGGGUUGUAAACUUCUUUUAUAUGGGAAUAAAACGUUCCACGUGUGGGAUUUUGUAUGUACCAUAUGAAUAAGGAUCGGCUAACUCAGUGCCAGCAGCCGCGGUAAUACGGAGGAUCCGGGCGUUAUCCGGAUUUAUUGGGUUUAAAGGGCGCGUAGGUGGAUUGUUAAGUCAGUUGGGAAAGUUUUCGGCUCAACCGUAAAAUUGCAGUUGAAACUGGCAGUCUUGAGUAAAGGAGAGGUAUGCGGAAUUCGUGGUGUAGCGGUGAAAUGCUUAGAUAUCACGAAGAACUCCGAUUGCGAAGGCAGUUCACUGGACUGCAACUGACGCUGAGGCUCGAAAGUGUGGGUAUCAAACAGGAUUAGAUACCCUAGUAGUC
rnacentral:rRNA from 1 species